GAAGCCUUUGGGUGGAGCGAUGUGGAAGUCCUUCCUCAUCAGGAGUUUCACAUGGUACAGGCCCCAGGGUCCUCAAAGGUGACCUGCAGGUCUGCGAGCACCUCCUUGUUGGGAAAGAUCUUUAAGUCAUCCAGCAGGUUUUGCAGUCAAUGUCGUUACCUCCUUGUGCACCAGGCCAUCAUGGGGAGAGCAGGUUCUUCACAUUCAAGUCCAUGACUGUGGCUGGACAAGGUGAUAGCGACACUGCAGCCAUCUCCAGGGAACCAGUGGCCUGUUUGCUGUGUGUGCUUCCACACUGGCCUCCCACGUGCCAGCUGGUGUUACCUGCGUCGCUCACUCCUGCUGCUGGAGUGGCUGCGUCAGCAGGGGGAGCUGAGAGCAGUAAGUGGCUGGAACAGCCCAGGGAAGGAGGAGAUCCCUGGGAAGCAAGAUCGGAGUUCACGUGGAGGACGCUGGAACCACAGAAGCAUGUGUGUUUGUGGCAACCUCACGGCUCCACUGCUGGAGUUAAUGAUCCAUGAGCAAAACACUGAGCCCAUCCACACUGGCCGCUGGCGGAUGGACACCGCCAUGCUAGAUCUGUGCGGUCGCCCGGGGAGCACCGGGCCAUUCCUAACAAGCGUGCAGUCGAGAUGCAGACAGGAAGGCCAAGGGAGGGAGAAGGGGGCUUCAGCACACGGCAGCGCGUGGCCCCUGGGCCCGACCCCUUCUCCGGCAGCGCAGCAGUCCUCCACCUUGUCUUGCUAAUUCCCAGCCACUGCCCCGCCUCAGGUCAUCCUCCUGGCGGUCAGAGUGACCUACUCGACUGGCACUUCUGGUGUGUAGGAAUCUCUGGUAGAUCAAGUUAAAAGGCAGAUUUUGAAUCCCUGGAUCUGGGGUGGGGCCUGAAAUUCUGCAUUUCUGAGGGGCUCCCAGGUAAGGCCAAGGCUGCUGGCCGGCUGAGGAGUUAACAGUGUGUGCUCUGGAGUCACGUGGAUUCCUGCUUGCCAGUAGCGCGCCUUGGAAAGUCACCCCGCCUGGCUCUGCCAUUUCCUUCUCUGUACAUACAGUGUUGUCUGCGGUGAGGGUGACACAGCUGAAUAGGCACAAUGGGCCGGACCAGUGCCGGGCACGCGGUGCAUGCGAAGUCAGUAGUUAUAACUGCUCGUCUGUGCUGCAACCCUGCAGUGCACCCUUCGCCUGCACAAUAAAAUCUACCAUCAGCCACCACCGUGCCCUGCCCUCCCGUGCACCAGUCACCCUGAGCAUUGUACGGGAGUUCUGGAAAGGAGCAGAGUUUUCUCAAAUGCAGAGUUGCCCUUGAUUUUGAAUGCCGUUCUCUCCCUGAUCCCCCCAGCAAAGUCCUCCUCCUUCUUUUGGGCUCUGAGACCUCCAGAGCCACCUCCAGGAAGCUGAGAAGACAGGAAGUGUUUUUACUCUUUUCCAUUCCCAGUUUUGUACAUCACCUGACGUAUACUAGGUUUUAAUAAAUGGUGAAAGAAUGAAUGAAACAACAAA
rnacentral:lncRNA from 10 species